GGCUUAUUCACCAUGAUCAAGUAGGCUUCUUCCCCAGGACGCAAGGUUGGUUCAAAAUACAGAAAUCAAUAAAUGUGAUUCAUUAUAUAAACAGAACAAAGACAAAACCACAUGAUUAUCACAAUAGAUGCCUCACACUCUCUGGGUGAGACACAACCAUCUGUGAUUCAACAAGUCCUUCACGGGGUCCAGAUAUCUACCAGAGGUGAUAACUGCUGCUUUAGUCCAGAGGCUUGCUAGCCUUUUCUUCUCUCUGGAUGGUAACUGUGCUCUGUUCCACAAAGCUAAUGAUGCUUUACAUAUACAUGGCUUAUUUGAAUAUUCUCAGUAUUCUCAUUUUAUAAAAUUUCCAUUUAGAGGAAUAGACUCAUGUCCUUCCAACUAAAAUGGAUAAUAUUCACCUUAGAUAUAUAAAUUCUUAUUUGCAGAGGGAUUAGAAAAGGAAAGGCACAUGCUAUUGUCUUCGUUUU
rnacentral:lncRNA from 1 species